UUGCUGACGCGCCUCACAGGGCCCCAAGCACAGAGGACCGCGCACAUGGAGGUCCAGCGCAUCCGCUGCCCACCUAAGGAGAGCUUCCCCGUGAACGCAACGAGCUACGGUGGCCAGCCCGCGGCGAGCCGCUACGCCGGCGCGCCUGGCCCCUGCUUGUGCCCGCCACCACCCAAAUCUGGGGCCUCCUCCGCGGGUGGAGGCGGUGGCGGCUCGACGGCUGCACGGCAACGGGACGAAGGCAGAGCUAACGGUUGCGUCCAAUACUGAAAACUGAUUACGAGUUGAAGAAGAUUGUACAGGACAUCUCAAUUCAAGGGCAAGAAGAUGAGCAAAUAUUAAGUUUACGGGUAAUCUUGGAGCCAUGAUGUGAAGGCAAUUCUUCUUUCAGAAAUAAAGAAGACAGCAAUUCAUUGGAUUGGGAUUUGGGGUUGAGCUUCCCACAGACGCUUGGCGCUAUUCAAGCUCUGUGGAAAUACAUAAAACAAAAUAUGUAUCUAAAAAAAUUAAAACAAUUAAUAAUUGGGAUGGAUGGAGUAUGUGCUACUGAUCAUUUUGAUACAUAAUUGUGAAAAUGGUCUCCAUGGAGGAAGCAAAAACUUUAAUAUUC